CCCGCACCAUCCACUACCCAGACCCCCUGGUCAAGGUCAACGACACCGUCCAGGUCGACCUGCAGACGGGCAUGAUCACCGACUUCAUCAAGUUUGACAUAGGUAGUGAGCGCAUCGAGAGCGCCGGAAUCCUUCCCCAAUGGGGGGGAGACUGCCUCUGGCCCUGGAGGCUCCCAGAGCACCCAUAUUUUUUGAAGCAGUUUUAUUUUAUUAUUUCCAUAUACAUGCAUAUGUCUGUCUGUCUAUCUAUCUAUCUAAUCUGUCCCCCCUGCCAGUCCCAAUUCCGCCUCGCAGGACCAUUGUUGCCCAGGCACCUUCUGACCCUUUCCCUCCCUCUUCUCUCUGACAGGCAACCUCUGCAUGGUGACGGGGGGUGCCAACUUGGGGCGCAUCGGGGUAAUCACCAACCGCGAGAGGCACCCCGGUUCCUUUGACGUGGUCCACGUCAAGGACACCAAUGGCAACAGCUUCGCCACCA